UUGCACUCUGCCAUUGGAUCAGGCGAUUACGCUUGUCGCCUGGUCCCAGAAAGGAGUGCCAGAUUU
rnacentral:snoRNA from 1 species